rnacentral:tRNA from 1 species
GGUCAAGUUGUGAGGUAUCACGCGUAAGCAUUGGGCUAGCAUUCCAACGGUCGUAGGUUCGAUUCCCACCGUGGUCA